rnacentral:rRNA from 1 species
CGUAGGUAACCUGCCUGGUAGCGGGGGAUAACUAUUGGAAACGAUAGCUAAUACCGCAUAACAUUGACUAUUGCAUGAUAGUCAAUUGAAAGGUGCAAAUGCACACUACCAGAUGGACCUGCGUUGUAUUAGCUAGUUGGUGGGGUAACGGCUCACCAAGGCGACGAUACAUAGCCGACCUGAGAGGGUGAUCGGCCACACUGGGACUGAGACACGGCCCAG